CUGAUGUAACAUGGCCAGUGGAUGUCUCUGGCUCUCAGCCUCCUUGGCCCCACAGUGGCCGAGCCGAGGGUGGGCUGGGCGGGGAAGGGCGCUGGCACCGGGCUGGGCUCGCCUGCCCCAGCACCCAGUGCUGCCCUUCCGAAACCCGCCCGGCCCCUGCCCCGAAUGCCACUUCUGUCCUGCAGAAAACCUUCCAGUAGGAACACCAAACUUUUACUUCAAGCCCAUCUCAGCCACAACGCUACCACCAGUGUUUUCACCAAAUGUUAUUGUACUCUUCAACGCACGUAUGACACCACGGAGCAAGGCUGUGGCAAGAGGACAGUCACACCCUUCUGCAGGUGGUUCUGUCCUGUGGCCCUCACUGCACGGCCCUGGAGGAGUUUGGGCUAAACAAGAGGAUCAAGGAUCAGCUCCUGCUGCUGAAACCAAGUGGCACUGAGAUACUCUUCCCACACUGCCAGGCAGAGCUCCUCCAGCAGGAUGGGUGUCCAUGCCAUGGUGCACGUUGUCCUGCCAUCUCUGCCAUGGCCUGGACAUCCAAGAGUGUCUUCACUACGACAUGCAAGAGAAAAAUAACAACCCCAGCAGGAUGUCAGGAAGAUAAAUUCAUUAAUAUUUGUGGAGAACUAGAGCACUACAAUGAGAGUACUAUGGGAAAGCCCAUGAGAAAAUGAGUGAUUCUCUAUUCAGCGCUGCAUUUGGAUGGAGAGCAGUAAAUAAUGGAUAGGGCAGACAUUGAGAGAGCUUACCUCUGUAUUACAAGGACCAGGUUCCUAUGAGCUUCUGAGGAGAGGGCUUCUUGAAAUGCAUGACAGGGACAGAGACAGACCAUGGACAAGGUGGAAGAACUAGCUCCAUCAGUGACCAGACUUUUCAAACUGAAUUAAACUGUUUUUGAUACCUUAUGCCUUUGAUGUGGUAACAGGACCUUCUGUAAUCAUGUGAGGAAUUGAGCUUUGAUGCAUCAGUGAGCCUUUCUCCAGCAGGUAAUAGAACAUUUGCAAGAAGAGUCUUUUGUUUAUCUUCCUAGGCUGCCAAUCCAUUGAACUGAAUUGAAAUGAAUUCAUUAAUUGAAACCUACUUGAUCAUUUUAGAGAAGAUUUCUGAUUUCUGUUAAGCAACAUCUGGCUAAAAACUUUCCCCUUUCCUAAAUGUGAAGAGAAGAAAAUAUAUGAUGUUCCUAUCUAGGGGACUUGGUGAGAGCACUCAAUCUUCAACUUGAAGAAGGGACAAAACUCCUGAAAGAUGUUAAAUACAGCAGUUCAGGGGUGGCCGCUAUUUAGGCAACACAGUAAUUACAGAUGGCCUACCAAAACCUAGUGUUUUCAGAGUGCUUCUCAGUCAAAACAUACUGUGUAAUGGACAUGAGGCUUGUACUUCAGCUGAUACCCCCCCCCCGACUCCUAGGGAAGAAGAUAUUAGGAUACCUUGUGCUGAGUCUCAGAUGCACAGCUUCUCACUGCUAUGGUUACACUGGGAGCAGAGCAGCAGACCUGUGGCAUUCACAUUCUCUGAACAGGAUUCCUUCGCCCAGGGUUUUUCUCCUGGGAAGCUGAAAGGCAGCGAGAGGCCUCAGAGAAAAGAAAAACAGUUCUUAUCUCAUUUGCUUCUCCUGUGUUGUGCUCAUGUGGAAUGUUUGGAGAUUGUUUACCCAAGGUGAUUGUUUGAUUGGACUCUGGUGUGAGUUGUUUUGACGCAUUGGCCAGUUAGCGCCAAGCUGUGUCGGGACUCUAGAAAGAGUCAUGAGUUUUCAUAAUUAUCUUUUUAGCAUUCAGAAAGUAUCUUUUCUGUAUUCUUUAGUAUAGUAUUCUUUAAUAUAAUAUAGUAUCAUAAAAUAAUAAAUUAGCCUUCUGACAACAUGGAAUCAAAUGCAUUGUUCUUCCCUGCCAUGGGGCUCGCCGUGCAUUUACAGUACAGACCCCCCUUCUGCCUUGGGUACGGCUGCACCACCGCCAAGAGCAGCAACAGUGCUUACACAGGAUCACCUGGGGAAGGUAAGGGGUAGCAGCUGAAAAUGCAAACAAAAUAAAAGCUGUACUUUAAAAAGAGCACAGUUGGGACAACCUAGAACAGUUUAUAGCUCCUCCUGGCUGCUCUUCUCUUCUAGAAGAAACUGGAAAACCCCUUUGUAAACUUGGGAGAACAGAGACCAGGUCUGCUCUUCAGCUGCCACUGACUCAAGCUUGGCAGACUGGCUUAAAUGGCCAUCAAUCCCAGUUAAACCUAAAGUGCUGGACUGUGGGCUGGUGUGACUGGGAAGCAAACACACUGGUUUUGCUUUGGGCAUGGUGACAUCCACAGAGAGGUGCAGCAGAUCCUGGGGGCACUACAUGCUGAAUUGUUCCAGCAUGAAUCAACACAGGUUUACUGGUGUCACUCUACUUUAAGGCACCCUUAUGCAGUUGGAUUGCUGUUGUUCAUGAAAAAAAGAGCCUUUUUCUUAACUCUUUUCUAAGGAUUAAAUUACCAUUAAAGAGCCUGAGGUUUUGUCUUGGGCGUUUCAUUGGCAAAUGGUCUGUGUGGGGACCUGGACAAAAGACUCGCCUUGAGACAGUGAUCACAUUUAUUUUCUUGCCUUCACUGUCUUCUUCAGGGCCAGUAGCUUUACAGACUCUUCCUGAGAAGGUUUCAAUGCUCUCAGAAGAAGAACAGUCUUGUAAAAAGUCUAUUUCUUAGUAAAUUUAUGAAAAAUAAGACAUAGAACAAAAUUAUGAUUAACAUUUUCUAGAGGCUGUCAUCUAGUUCAUCUUCCCUGUCAAUUUAAUCCAUCCUGCUCAUAUAUAACUGUAGGGGGAUAGAACAUAAGAAAAUAAGGAUAGUGCAGAAAGUAAUGUUACCCCUAAGGAGUUGCAGUUGGGCCAAUUAUCAAAGAUUAGAACAGGCCUGACUUUAACAGGCCACAGCUGUAACCAAUGAGAAGAAGAGUGCUAUAAAAGAGUGGGCUGGCUGGUUGAGAAGGGAAUUGGAGUCAGUUGGCUACUUUGUGAAGAAGAAAGAGUCAGUGCUCUGAGGAGCUGCCCAUGAGAAAACAUCAAGAAGGUGUAAAACUUUUGUGAUAAGGAGACAACAGCAUGGAACCCCUGCAAUAAGAUGACAACAGAUAACCUCUUCCAAUAAGAAGUAUUACCUGAGUUGCUAAUUUAUUCUUAAUUCUAGACUGCAGAAAUCCAUUCUGACUUGUCUAAAGUUACACUUAGAACCAAACUGUAUAUUUAUUAAAUUCAGGAAAAAAACAAAAAUCUCAGUUUCUCAGUGGGUUUCAGCCUUUAGGCAAAGAUAAUUCAAACUGGUUUAUUUUCAUCAGUAUAACUAUGUGCUACAUACAAGUUCCACUCUCCAUUGAAAGCAGAGGGUGGAUCUUCCACACUAACUGUGCAGUGUGAGUUAGGAUCUCUACAGAGUCACAUGAUGUCCAUUUGAUCCUGUUCUCGCUAUUGAAAAUCUAUAAAGAUGACGAAUGAAUCCUAGCAUCUAAAGAGAUUGUCACCUGCAGCUAUCUGCUUCUCUACCCCAUUUUCUCCCUCACCAAGGUUACAGCUGCCUCAGGCAAACAGCCAUUCACCACAGUGAGUGAUCCUCAGCCACCUUGCAGCAGAGUCAGGGAGCUCAGCAUAAACUUUUAGUACAGGUGAACAUAAACUGUCAGGUUUUGGACCAACAUGGUAACACAUGGACUUGUAUUUGAUCCACCUGGCUCCUAGCUGCGAGGUGAUUUUUUGGCUGAGCUCAGGUUUAUAAGGGUCUAUUUGGAAACAGCAGCAUACUCUGAUAAUGUUUUAAUAUUCUAGAUAUCCUCUCAGGACAGACACCUCCCUCUUUCCCCCUAUUACCUCUUUUAAUCUUUCUUGGGUAAAACUGGCUCAGUUAACACAAUAUAACAACGAUGGUUGUGUUAGCCAUCUACAGCUAAUUUCAGAUACCAUGGGCAACCCUUGAAAAGGAUGCAUGUCCACAAGCUAAUGUCUUAAAAUGGUCACUUAAAUAUGACCAACAUUGGGCAAGAGAGAGCAAUUCCCAGAUGCAGUUCUCCAUCCCCACCUUUACUGCAGGGAGACUAAAUCGUGAAUGAAGCUGUUGAUGGCCAUGAAAUAAAGAAGAACAUAUCAGUGCUGGCUUAUUUUGACAAGCCUAAAAUCUUUGGGGUUAUUAUGGCUGCUUCCCAAAGAGCCUAGCCCAUCUUGCAGUAGAAUGAGUAAACUCAAAAAGAGGGAGAAAGCUAGACCAAAAUAGAUUACUAUGAGCAGGAAAUAUUACAGCCACACAAGCGUAAGCCAUUCUAGCUCCUGAGUCAGAGUCCUGUGUGAGCAUGAGUCAAGUCCCUUAAUUGUAUCAGCACAACCACAAGAGACUUCUAGCUAUGGCACCUUCCUGGGGCCCCUAAGCCAAGCCUAAAGUAGGAAAAAGCCCUAUGUUGUAAAAUUAAACGGCUAGCAGAAAAAAAAAAAACCAUUUCAAAGAGGAUUAAGCCCAGGUUAACAUCUAGAAAAACUGUUACCUGACAAGUAUGCUUUAGUGAGGAAAAGUAUCACAAAAUGUUUGUUUGAAAACAGUCACUUUCCUGUAUGCAACCUUUUUUACUUUGCCACAUUUUGUGCUGCUGGAAAGCUCCUAAAGUUCCUGGCUUGUCCCUCAGUAAUAGUAGUAAUUUCAGACAUACACAGUGCACACAGUGAAUUGCAUAUGUCAAACCUACUCAGUACUCAAACCAAUAUGAUGAGCAGAAAACAAAAAAGAAUGGUGUGGGGGAAAAAAGGAUGGAAUAAAUGUAGUAAAUUUAGUAGGCAUGCACUGGCUAUAUUUUCUGUAAAAUAUCAGGGACAAGAACCCAGGGGGGGUUUUGUGGCUGUGGAUCACCCAAACCUGAAUGAGUUUUUCAUAUUCUUGUGAUUGUCUUUUCCAUAUGCAAACCCAACAGUUCUUAAAACAUAUGUAAAUAAGCGUUAUUUACAAAGGCAGUCCGGUCAUAGAUGUAAAGAAUCCAAAUAGAUUUCCCCUUAACUCAGUUCAGUGUUAUUUUCCAAGCUCCUCUCUUCACACAUGCAAGAGUCUUGCAUUUAGAACAGGCUGCCUGAGGUCACAGACAGGAUUUAACAAGUGCAAGCCUGCUUAAGGAGGCCGAUUUGAACUGAGUGGAUACAGAGCCUUAUUUAUGACACAAUCAUAAUCUGAAUGAAAUUGGUUUAUGUCUUGUUCGUGUGUUUAAGAGUACUGUGCUACCCUUAUGCAAUAUUUGCAUUGGAAAAUAAGAGAUUUGCAUGGGAGUGAAUAACUAACAGUAUUCACAAGGCAUUACAGGAUUUUACAGUGGAUCUUUAAGAAGGAAAUCAGGAUGAUACGGCGGCAUUGAUUUAAAAAUAAAAUCUGGAUGCUAUGUGUGAAAUUCUGUUGAUUUCUUUUAGUGAAAAAGACUGCCUCACCAUCCCUCUGAAUUUAAAAUGCAAAAUCUCUUACCUUUUAAAUAAUACCUUUUGCUCCAGAACACUUGCAACCUAUCUAUCUGCAUCAUGGUGUUAGUGCAGGCAUGUUGAACAAGGAGAAGGGACUGAGUCAGAAUGAGAAAGCCCUGUUUGGAGCACAUAAGGUCAUCUCUUGAAUAGGAGGAUUUUCUGCUAGCAGCUGCCACUGCUGAAUCUGACCAGCGACUGGAAGGCAUCAUGCCAGAAGCUAGGAGAUAAAAAGAUCUUCAGGCUGGGAAGCACAAAACUGAAAUGGAGAGGAGCUGAUCAGCUCUUUUUUCUAGUUUUAAAGAUAGGUCAGGAAGGUGAGUGAGGCAAUGACUGAUGGGGUUGGCACCUGUGGGUUUGGCUAUGGGGGAAAGAUACACUAAGGUAAAUUUAAUUAGCUCUGAAGCCAGCAUAGUUAUUGCAGUGUCUGUCCCUGAUAUGCACCUUUUUGGUACAGGAGGGCAUUUUUCAUUUUCAACCUGUCAUUAAUGGAUUCAAAGUAAAUGGGAAAAAUCCUGCUUACUCUGUCAUAAAUAUGUACACGUGAAAGUUUGCUCUGAUAAAAAAAAGUAGAGACAAAUCCAUGUCAGGAAAGAUUUGUCAGAAUGGCCUUUCCAGAAAGCUCUCUUAAGACAAGGGCAUCCUGUAGGGGCAACAAAAGGCUUUGCCUGUGUAACAUGAACAAAAACACGUGCAAAAGGGCCAAAUAAGCUGUGCGCUGUACCACUUCUGUGCAACAAUGAGUGGGUUUCACCUUGGAGUGCUACUGGUAUAAAAAGGGUGCAAGACAAAGCACCUUGCUGGCCAUUUGUAUGGCUACCAAGGUUACUUGUUACAUCAACCUUUUUGUCUGUUUAAACUCACAUCUAUCUUAUUUUAUACCGCAUUUUAUGUCAUUUAAGACUAGUCUGGUGAUGCAUAAAGACACCACCAGACAGAUUAUUGUUCUAUCUAUACCUUGGCUGCUAAUCAAUUUCUAAGGCAACAGUGAGCACAUUGAAGAACAUAUUUAACACCUGAUAACAUAUAACACACAGGUAACACAUUGGUUUUGCACAGGCACACACAGAAGAUGACUCUAUUGAUUUGGACUUUACUGCUGAAAAAAUUAACUACUUUUUUUUUUUAACCUUAGAGAAACCAACAAGUGCCAGCUCUCCUGUCAGAAGAACAUAGUCAAGAUAAGGUGCUUUUUAAUUUUGGACUGAGGGGAAUUUUCCAAGGUCAGACCCAGCCUAAGAAGACAGGGCAGAUCUUGCUAAACUAAACUUAUGGUAAAGUACCCAGCACUUGGCUGUGUUUCCAGUUUGGCCUUUCAGCAGUCCUCUCCACAUAGCACAAAGCUUAUAAAAGAGACCUAAAUUCUACAUGCAACUGAAAUUUGCUGGACAUCUAUGUGCCUAUGACAAGUCUCUGAAACAGGGAGCAGUAUGUCCAGGGUGUUUCAUUAUCUUUGGUGAUGCAAUUUCUGUUUGGAAUAGUCAUGUCCACACACAUGGAAUUGCUAUGCCUACACAGCUGUUACAACAUUGCUGCUUUGCAUUCUUGGGAGAUUCCAUGGUUUAUUGCCUUACCCUACUGGUUUUUUCCAUUCUUGCUCACUGUGAAUACUCCAGUACAGAAAGUAGUGGAGUAUUUUCUAUGAUUUUGUCUCAUUUCAUCACAACUUUGGAAAUGAGCUCUGUUUUUAAAGGACUAUUGAUCAUCAGACAAGAAGCACUGAAGACCACUGAGAGGCUCCUGGGGCUACUUGCAUACCUUUAGAGUCAGAUGCCCAGCUGAAGCUGAGAAGGGAACUGACUAAGAACUAAUUCAUGAAAAGGUGAAGCUCGGUAGUGAUGACAUUUCAAAAGGUUUGGGAAUAUUAACCUUCAAGAACCUUAAAAGGAGAAAUUGCCCCACAACUGUAAGAAAGGAACAUUUCAUAAGGGUUUAUCUUGGCUUGGUGAAAUAUACUCAUCCAUUUUCAUCUGUAGAGUCACCAUUCUCAUUUGGUAACCAUUUCUGUAGACAGAAAUCUCCAGAAAAAAAUGAUCAGGUUUAUUGUGAAUGGGUUGUAUGCAAGAACUAAAAUCCUGGUUGGCAUAUAUGAGUUGGCAACACACAAGAAUUUAUUGAUGAGACUAAAUAUUUGAAAUUAGUUAAUUUUGUUUAGGUCAUUAGGUAAUUCUAUGAUUCUAGCAUUAAUGUGACAGAUAAGAUUAUUCUCACUUCAGGCUGUACCUCAGAGAAGGUGGCAUUUUCCUAUGAUACAGCAGAUGAUCACUAUGGGAAACUUACUAACACUAGAAUGACAUGAUGAGUAAGUCCAAGAAAGUCACAUUUUUAGAAAGACUAGACUAUUUAAUGCUAUUUUUUUCAUUAAGGGCAAAUAUAGAAAAUAAUAAAGCUAUGAUUAUUGUUGUCUGUUCAAAAGACUGAGCAUACCCACAUAUCAAUGCUUCCCCUGUUUUUGGAGAUUUUGAAAGGAUGCCUUAUUCUCGACCAUGAGGGGCGAUUUUAGACUGUGCCUCAAUAAUAUUCAAAAGCUGUAUGCUUGAUUGGAGAAAUCUGCCUCAUGAAAAUCACUUUAUCUGUAGAAAGAAACUCUGCAGAUUCUUUCACAGCAAAGUAAACAGAAACACUGAGAAAAUUUGAGAAGUAAGUAAAAGAGUGAUGGUAAGCUCCUCCAUCUGACCAGAAAGACUAGAGUCAGGGAUGCCCCACAAGUUGUGAAGUGAAUGCACAUUUGUGAACCAAGUGCCUGCCCUCUUGGGGCAGAAGUAGGGAAAUCUUUAUAUAUGAGGAUUUUUAAUAUAUCACACAACAGGAAUUUUAUUGAAUUCUGUAAAGCUUUUAAUAUAAUCAAGCAAGGUAAGGAAAAUAAUUUCAGAAAGUAUAACUUAGGGCAAGAGAGCAGCAGAAAAUAUUCUUUGGAACUUCAGAAACAUACUACCCCUUUGGGCAGAUGAAUAAGUUUAUAGGGUCCCACACAAUCACAUUUUAUUUGCUGCUUUGCAAUGUGGAAUGUGGAAGAACAAACCUGUACCUGCAAACUGCUACCUCAGUAGACCCACUGUUAGUGAACAAGUUUUAUAUCUGAAAAAAAACAUAUUCAGAUUUAUCUGCUGACUGUCUUCUGCAAAAGCUGUUUCUAAAGGAUCAUGACUAUCCUCCUCUACUCUCUCUCCUCUUAAUCAUGCUAAAUUUUUUUUUUCCAUUUCUCCAUAAUUUAUCACUUUUUGUGUACAGAAAAUCAAUAAAUAUGCUACACUUUGAUUUCCUUUCCUUUUUGAGUAGAUUGGACAGGUGUUUAUCCAGCGUAGGCACCUGUGGCUGUGGUUGCUGCAAUGUAGCAUGGAUGAGAAUGAUAAAAAGGAACAAGUAGUCAUUACCAAAGAAAUGGCCUCUGUGCCAAAAAUAAUAAAAUAUAGCUCUUUCCUUAAUUGCACAAUAUCCUUGCCAAAAUAGGGAACUGUGUUUCCCUGAAGAUUUCUUUUUUAAUACCCAUGGGUCAGUAUAAAGUCAUCUGUUAAAUAACUAUGAUUCUGCUGUCACUAAAGAUAUAAAAUACUGAGAAUCUCUGUAGUUAUAAUAUUUGUGUAGUCAGAUUUGGAUGAUUUGUAGCAACUCAGUCUAAAGUUGAAGGUAAAUUUAAAAAAGUCAGAAUAUUUAUUCUAUCCUCUUUUUUUCUGUUGUUAUCCUUUUGUUUCUGCUCUUACAAUUCAUUUAACUUCCACUUCUUAGGCCACACAAUGUUGCCCUGUUACACAUGCAUGUCUCUGAUGGAAAUGGUAGAAUAGGAGAGAAGAGUAACCAUGGUGAAAGGCUGUUCAGAAGACUUCAUCUAAAAGUUGAUUUACAUAAGUAGGACUGAGGUCUUGAACCUUGAGGCACUUCAGUGAUCAACUCCAAAGCUGGUAUAGAAAAUAAUUUGUUUAAAAUAAUUUUUGUGUCUUGAAGAUUUAGAGGGUCACUUGCUUCUUUUUCUCAUGAUUAUAUAACAAACAUUUUUCUUUUUUUUAUCUCGGUUAGAAAAGAGAAAUGCUGCAUGGAUGUCCAGAUGUAGAAGUCUUCUCGGCAAAAGAAGUGGAUCAGGACGUAUCACCACGGGCUCCUUUUAUUGUCUGUGGGGGGAAAAAUGGAGAAAGAAAAAACACUAUAAGGCAUGAUUCAUACCAUCCUAAUGUAGGCAUCUAAAAUAGGUCAGGUUCAUUGAGCUCUAAAAUGUCUGUUUUUCUCUAUGGACAGAGGCAUGGUCACCCUGGGGAAUCACUGGCUUAGAUGUGGAUAUCUAUGUUAUCAAGUAAGGUGAGAUGAUUUCCACCCCGUGUAACUUUGUGACCAAGAGUAAAUAUCUAUAAAGAAAGAAACAUUGCCUCUAUAAAAAAGGGCUUCUAAUGGAAUGAUAUGUGCUAAAGCUCUUGUUCCACAUUCCCUACAAUGACCUAGAUCCUAUAAAACAUAAAGAUUGAAAUCUUGUCCCAGAGAAAAGCAUGGUAUAAUACUGCAUUAUCCUUAUUCUGACUUGUGAAACUGAUUUCUCAUUCAACUUAAAACACAUGCCAAGAAGUACACAGCAAUGAUCUGAUUAAAGAUAUGCACACAGAAUUCAGAGCUGAUAAUUAUGUGUCUUAUAAUUACUGCAUACAGCAGUACAUCAAUAUAUUAGCGUAUAUACAUACAUGUGUGUAUAUACAUGCUAAUAGAACACUUAAAAGACAAUUAUAGAUAAUGGUUGUAAUUUCAUACAUUAAUAAAUCCACUAUAUUGGUAUGCAAACUAAAUAGGUCUAUGAAAAAGUAGGGAUAAUGACAACAAGAAUAUUUCCUUAUUUUAUUCUGAAUUUCUGAAAGACUAUUUAGCACAAUAGAAAUCUUAGUGCUGACAUAGUUCCAUCACUAAUUGGGGAAAAGAAAAGCAUUCAUUGAAUAUUUCUGUUUUGCAUUUAGAAAGAAGAGCAGUUUCUGCAUUGCCAAACUAUCUUCUACUCUGACAUUUUCUAAAGCAGAUGGUAAAGAACAUCUAUUAAUUUUUUUAUAUUGGCAGGUCCACAUAACUUGAUUGAAAGAUUUUAAAAACAAUUUGUACUGCUCUGCAUUGGUAAAAAGCUUUGGCAUACUGGAGAAGUCCAAGAGGCCUGGAAAAAUCAAAUGCCCUGUUGAUAUCUCAACAACGUAAACAGGAUGACCACCGUAACUCUAGAUGAGUUAACUUGACCUUGGUUCCAUGUGAAAGAAUGGAGCAGCUGAUAUGGGACUGUGUCCAUAAGGAAAUAGAAAAUGGUAACAUAAUUACUGCCAGUCAACAGGACUUUAUGCAAAACAGGUUAAGUUAAACAAACUGCAUAGUACUUUUAUGAGCUAAGAAUUCUGAUGAAUUGAUUUUUUUAAGAAAGGUAACUAUGUUGACAAAACAAUGCCUUUCAGACUUCUGUUAAGCAUUGAUACCACAUGACACUCUGAUUAAAUGUUACACCAGAACACAACCAAGACAACAUACAAUAAAUGAGACUAAACCAUAGAACUCAGAAUUUCAAUGUGUAAUUGCUAACUAAAAUUUACCAAGUAUCACCAGUGUGCUGCUACAAAGACUCUUCCAUGCCUUAGAUAGUUAUUCAAUCCAUUUACUUAUGGGAUGACAAAAAAAAAAAAAAAAAAAAAAAGAGGGCAUAAACUGUAAUAAUAUCUCUCAAUUCUGAAAAUGGCAAGAGGAGAGAAAUUAUGAGGACAGAUUGCAAACAGGAAGUGAUUUAUGCAAUGGUAGCUAAGUAAAAAUUAUAUGGGUAUAAAUAUUGCCAAUUAAAAGCUGUUUUGGGAGUAGAAUAUAGAGAUUAAAGUUGCAGGACUGAGUGUAGUGGGUCUAAAAAAAUGGGUAGAAGAUGGUUGAUGGUUAAUUUUUUUAGUGCAAAAGAGCACUAAGUUGGUUAAUGUGAUCCAUGGCUUUACACUGGAAGAGGUGAGAACUGGUCUUUUUAUGGCUGUUAUAGUCAGACCAAAUUGAGCUCUCCAUAGAGAAAGACAGAAGCAAUGAAAGCUACCACCCUACAGACACAUAUUACUCUUUUUUGAACUAUAAAACCAAGCAGUUUCCUUGGGAUAUAUUGCAAACACAGCAGAUGAAGAAAUAGUUAGCAGGGGUUAUGUACAUCUGCAUAAAUAAGGCACAAGAAGAACAGCGGGGGGUUUUUCCUUGUUGUGUUUGGGGAAACCAGACUUUGGCUACAUUAUUUGUAAAUAAAGUUGCACAACUUUGCUA